GACGUAGGAGGCGAGCGUUGUCCGGAUUCAUUGGGCGUAAAGAGCUCGUAGGCGGUUUGUUGCGUCGGCUGUGAAAUCCCGAGGCUCAACCUCGGGUCUGCAGUCGAUACGAGCAAACUAGAGUGUUGCAGGGGAGACUGGAAUUCCUGGUGUAGCGGUGAAAUGCGCAGAUAUCAGGAAGAACACCAGUGGCGAAAGCAGCUCUCUGGGACGGUACUGACGCUGAGACGCGAAAGCGUGGGGAGCGAACAGG
rnacentral:rRNA from 1 species